UACGGGGGGGGCAAGCGUUGUUCGGAAUUACUGGGCGUAAAGGGCUCGUAGGCGGCCAACUAAGUCAGACGUGAAAUCCCUCGGCUUAACCGGGGAACUGCGUCUGAUACUGGAUGGCUUGAGUACAGGAGAGGUUAACGGAACUCUUUGUGUAGGGGUAAAAUCCCAUGAUAUAAAGAUGAACACCAAUAACGGCGAAGGCAGUUAACUAUUCUGUUACUGACAUUGAGGCACGAAAGCGUGGGGAGCAAAACGG
rnacentral:rRNA from 1 species